GUCGAGAAUCUUUCACAAUGGGGGCAACCCUGAUGGAGCGACGCCGCGUGGAGGAUAAGGUCUUCGGAUUGUAAACUCCUGUCAUGCGUGAACAAGGUUGCUUGGUUAAUACCUGGGCAAAUUGAUGGUAACGCAAGAGGAAGAGACGGCUAACUCUGUGCCAGCAGCCGCGGUAAUACAGAGGUCUCAAGCGUUGUUCGGAAUCACUGGGCGUAAAGGGUGCGUAGGUGGCGUGGUAAGUCAGAUGUGAAAGCCCGGGGCUCAACCUCGGAACUGCAUCCGAUACUGCCAUGCUAGAGUACUGGAGAGGUGACUAGAAUUCUCGGUGUAGCAGUGAAAUGCGUAGAUAUCGAGAGGAAUACUAAAGGCGUAGGCAGGUCACUGGACAGUUACUGACACUGAGGCACGAAGGCCAGGGGAGCGAACGGGAUUAGAAACCCUGGUAGUCC
rnacentral:rRNA from 1 species